GGAGGCCCUAGCUUGCUAGGUGUCCUUAGUGGCGCACGGGUGAGUAACACGUGGGAACAUACCUUAUAGUACGGAAUAACUGCGGGAAACUGUAGCUAAUACCGUAUACUCCAGUAAUGGGAAAGAUUUAUCGCUAUAAGAUUGGCCCGCGCAAGAUUAGCUUGUUGGUGAGGUAAAAGCUCACCAAGGCUUCGAUCUUUAGCUGGUUUGAGAGGACGAUCAGCCACACUGGGACUGAGACACGGCCCAGACUCCUACGGGAGGCAGCAGUAGGGAAUAUUGGACAAUGGGGGCAACCCUGAUCCAGCAAUGCAGCGUGAGUGACGAAGGCCUUAGGGUUGUAAAACUCUUUCAUCGGUGAGGAUAAUGACAGUAGCCGAAGAAGAAGGACCGGCUAAUUCCGUGCCAGCAGCCGCGGUAAUACGGAAGGUCCUAGCGUUGUUCGGAAUUACUGGGCGUAAAGCGCAUGUAGGCGGAACAGAAAGUUAGAAGUGAAAUCCCUGGGCUCAACCUAGGAAUUGCUUUUAAAACUUCUGUUCUGGAAUUCAGGAGAGGAAAAUGGAAUUUCCAGUGUAGAGGUGAAAUUCGUAGAUAUUGGAAGGAACACCAGUGGCGAAGGCGAUUUUCUGGACUGAUAUUGACGCUGAGAUGCGAAGGCAUGGGUAGCAAACGGGAUUAGAUACCCCGGUAGUCCAUGCAGUAAACGAUGGGUGCUAGUCGUCGGACAUUUGUUCGGUGUCGUAGCUAACGCGUUAAGCACCCCGCCUGGGGAGUACGGUCGCAAGAUUAAAACUCAAAUAAAUUGACGGGGACCCGCACAAGCAGUGGAGCAUGUGGUUUAAUUCGACGCAACGCGAAGAACCUUACCAGCGUUUGACAUGGAAAAGUACCGG
rnacentral:rRNA from 1 species